rnacentral:piRNA from 1 species
UAAUGGUAGACCCUAAAUAAUUAAUCUC